UUGACCUCGGAUCAGGUAGGGAUACCCGCUGAACUUAAGCAUAUCAAUAAGCGGGG
rnacentral:rRNA from 1 species